CUGUCACCUAAAAGUCCUUGAGGUAUCAAAUUUGGAAACACUCAUUGGCAGUUUACGUCAUAAAUAUGCAUACACAUGCAACUGGAGAGUAGGGGGUACUUAAUUAGCAAAGGGAAAUGGAUGGAGUUCAUAUCUCGGGUUUUAGAAGGUUAAUUAUAUGGUUAGAGAUCACUUGAGCAGAUUGCUUCAGCUCAUUUGAUAUUCUCACACACUUU
ensembl:ncRNA T27F7.10 ncRNA